GGCGGGGUGCGCGAGGAGCGCAAGCUGAAGCUGAAGCUUGUCGUGACGGCGCGGUCGUCAGUGGAGGUUCAAAUCCUCCUCCCGGCG
rnacentral:tRNA from 1 species